AGCCUCUGGAAGGAGCUGACCCUGCUGGACGCUUCAAUCCUAGCCCGGUUUAGCGGGUGACCUUUGACAUAUCGUCUGCCCUUCCUGCAUGUCGUUUGUGCUCUGGCUGACAAACAACGAUCUCACCAGCCAUCAGCGCUCCACAGGAAUGAAAAGAGGCAAUGGACUCCGUGAGGGGAGACCCGAAGUCUGUGAAUGCCCAGCUUCUGAGAUACCGUCAAUACUGUUGACUGCAUGAAUGGAUGAAUUGCAAGGAAGGGUCCAGAAUCUUCAUUUUAC
rnacentral:lncRNA from 1 species